AGAAGCCAUAAAAGCAGUAGCCAAAAGAGUUUAGAAAGGGCGAGAAUCUCAGACAAUGACAGUAUGUUACAAAAAGUUGAACACGGUUUCAAACAUAUCCCAGGUUCAGGCUGAUUCACUUCUCCAUGACAAGUCCACACCCUUGUCUUUGCAAAGAGAGCUAUUAUUCUAUGACUCCAGUUCAUUAAGAAACAUGGAAUAGAAGAGGAAGAGACGACGACCAACUGUAGAAGCAGCGCACAGCUAGAGCCUGUACAGGGUGCACCCAGUAUGUUAGAUGCUUCAACCUUGAAGAACCCUCUGUGGAUCCA
rnacentral:misc_RNA from 1 species